CCGAGUUGACUACGGCCCUAAACCCCUGUGAACAUACCACUUGUUGCCUCGGCGGAUCAGCCCGCUCCCGGUAAAACGGGACGGCCCGCCAGAGGACCCCUAAACUCUGUUUCUAUAUGUAACUUCUGAGUAAAACCAUAAAUAAAUCA
rnacentral:misc_RNA from 1 species